rnacentral:rRNA from 1 species
CUACGGGCGGCAGCAGUUAGGAAUCUUUUGCAAUGCGCGAAAGCGUGACAAAGCGAGCCAGAGUGAUUUUCCAUAUUGGAAAAUCUUUUGCGGGAUUUAAAAAGUCCUGCGAAUAAGGACCGGGUAAGACUGGUGCCAGCCGCCGCGGUAAUCCCAGCGGUCCGAGUCGCAACCACAUUUAUUGGGUCUAAAACAUCCGUAGCUUGCAUUGUAAGUUUCUUGUGAAAUCGGGCAUCUUAAGUGUCCGGCGGGCAAGAAAUACUGCUUUGCUAGGGACCGGGAGGCGUAAGAAGUACAUAAAGGGUAGCGGUAAAAUGUGUUGAUCCUUUAUGGACUAACGACAGCGAAGGCAUCUUACGAGAACGGAUCUGACAGUGAGGGAUGAAGGCUAGGGGCGCAAAACGGAUUAGAUACCCCAGUAGUC